rnacentral:rRNA from 1 species
AUUGCCUCAGUAACGGCGAGUGAAGCGGCAACAGCUCAAAUUUGAAAUCUGGCCCCAGGCCCGAGUUGUAAUUUGCAGAGGAUGCUUCUGGCGCGGUGCCUUCCGAGUUCCCUGGAACGGGACGCCAUAGAGGGUGAGAGCCCCGUCUGGUCGGACACCAAGCCUCUGUGAAGCUCCUUCGACGAGUCGAGUAGUUUGGGAAUGCUGCUCUAAAUGGGAGGUAUAUGUCUUCUAAAGCUAAAUACCGGCCAGAGACCGAUAGCGCACAAGUAGAGUGAUCGAAAGAUGAAAAGCACUUUGGAAAGAGAGUUAAACAGCACGUGAAAUUGUUGAAAGGGAAGCGUUCACGACCAGACUUGGGCCCGGUUGAUCAUCCAGCGUUCUCGCUGGUGCACUCUGCCGGCCCAGGCCAGCAUCAGUUCGCGCCGGGGGACAAAGGCGGCGGGAAUGUGGCUCCCCCGGGAGUGUUAUAGCCCGCCGCGCAAUACCCUGGGGUGGACUGAGGUUCGCGCUCUGCAAGGAUGCUGGCGUAAUGGUCGUCAACGACCCGUCUUGAAACACGGACCAAGGAGUCGUCUUCGUAUGCGAGUGUUCGGGUGUCAAACCCCUACGCGUAAUGAAAGUGAACGCAGGUGAGAGCUUCGGCGCAUCAUCGACCGAUCCUGAUGUUCUCGGAUGGAUUUGAGUAAGAGCAUACGGGGCCGGACCCGAAAGAAGGUGAACUAUGCCUGUAUAGGGUGAAGCCAGAGGAAACUCUGGUGGAGGCUCGCAGCGGUUCUGACGUGCAAAUCGAUCGUC